CUUCCUAAGGCCUCCAUGCUGUAAGAGUGCCCAAACUAGCACAUGCCAAGAGAAUGCAUGGAAAGCCCUGAAGUUACAUGAAGAGAGAGAUGCCAAGACAAGUCCCAGGAACAAGUCUGAGGUUUGGUGUUUGAUAUGAAUUUGAAUCCAUCAAUUCAGGAGCAUGAGGUAGAAAUGUUUUUCUACCAUAUGGAUGGAAUUGGAAUGACUAUGUUCUUAAAGACCUCAUCUCAGCUCCCUGGUUGUGGUGAUGAGCUAGCCAUGGCUCUUGAUUGAAGCUGGACCAGUUAGAGAACUUGGGAUUUUGACCAAAGGAUGCAGAUCUUAUCACUCCCUUUGGAGGGAAAAAUUUGGGAAUAUCUGUACUUCUGAAACAAAUAACGCAAC